GGGUGCUGUGGCUUAGUUGGUUAAAGCACCUGCCUAAUAAACAGGAGAUCCUGGGUUCAAAUCCUAUGCAUGCCUG
rnacentral:tRNA from 1 species